rnacentral:rRNA from 1 species
UACGAGGGGGGCGAGCGUUGUUCGGAAUUAUUGGGCGUAAAGGGUGCGUAGGCGGUUCCGCAAGUCCUGUGUGAAAUCUUCGGGCUUAACUCGAAGCCUGCACGGGAAACUGCGGGGCUUGAGUGUGGGAGAGGUGAGUGGAAUUCCCGGUGUAGCGGUGAAAUGCGUAGAUAUCAGGAGGAACACCUGUGGCGAAAGCGGCGCACUGGACCACAACUGACGCUGAGGCGCGAAAGCUAGGGGAGCAAACAGG